GAUGAACGCUGGCGGCGUGCCUAAUACAUGCAAGUCGAGCGAACAGACGAGUCUCUUGCUCCUCUGACGUUAGCGACGGACAGGUGCGUACCCCGUGGAUAACCUCCCUAUCAGACUGGGAUAACUUCGGCACCCCGGAGCUAAUACCGGAUAAUAUAUUCCACCCCAUGGUUCACUCGUGACCGACGGUUUUGCUGUCCCUUAUAGAUGUUUCCGCGCCGCAUUUCCUGGUGGGCAAGGUAACGGCUUACCAACGCAACGAUGCGUAGCCGACCAGGGAGGGGGAGCGGCGACACUGGAACUGAGACAGGGUCCAGACUGGUACGGGGAGCAGCAGUAGGGAAUCAUGCGAAAUGGGCGAAAGCCUGACGGAGCAACGGCGCGAGAGUGGAGAAGGUCUUCGGAUCGUAAAACACUGUUAUUAGGGAAGAACAAAUGUGUAAGUAACUAGGCACGUCUUGACGGUACCUAGUCAGAAAGCCACGGCUAACUACGUG
rnacentral:rRNA from 1 species